rnacentral:lncRNA from 1 species
CCUCGCUCUCCAUUCUGCUACUAUCUAGAUCUACUCUAAUUUAGAGAAGAGAGGAGAGCUCUCAUCUCUAAACCCUAGCUUUUGCUCUGUCUAUGAAUAAUGAAUGGGGAUGAAGGGGUGUCUCCUCCAGGGGCCAGGGGUCUGCUUAUAUAGCCCCUCCAAAUGAAUGUGGACCGUCGGAUCAAACUGACCUUAAUCGCAUGGUUUUCCUUAAUCCUUUAGGUCGGUGGAGCAUGAUCCGUGAGGCAGGGCCUGAUUGGUCGAGAUAACAGGGCGGGCGCCCAAGGGGGGAGGGCAGGCGCCCUGUCCCUGAGCCCGCUCGGCUUCUCGUUCGUUCCCGUGGCUUCUAGAGUCUUCUAGAUGAUAGAAAAUUGCCGCACACGUUAAUAUCUCUAUGUAAACCGGACGUGUGGGCUUUUCCUCCAUAUUUUCUGAUAACCCCUUGUAGAAAUAGACAAACACCAAAACUUGUGGAGUUCUGUCAGAUAAAACCCUAAGUCUGGGUGUUGGUUGCAUUUGGAUCCUUUUUUGUUUAUUUGAUAACUAAAUUUGGUACUUAAGGACCGUCAACAACUCCCCCAAGCUUACCUCUUGCUCGUCCCUGAGCAAGGAUGGACUCAAGAGUUUCUGCAAUGGUUUCAUGCCUUAAAGGUACACAUGCGUUCAAACAAGAUCUCAUUUGUGGGUUAGGGCAAACUGUUAAGAUUUAAACUUACUCAUAUUACCUUCCAUCAUGGGGCUUGCAACCGUCACUUGUGUCUUGAGCAGUUAAAAGAUAGAACGGUCAAGUCAAGCGCCAUGUCUCUUGUUCUUGAUCAGCUAUAGCUCUAGAGUUUUUGCAGAUUUUCAAAAUAAAACUCAGAGAUUCCUUGCAGGACUCUCUCAAUUCUCUCUUUUGUGGUAUUUCUAGAUCAUCACCAAGACAUUGAUGAUAAAUGCCUUCUCUCAAAGUAUGUGGCAUUUUUGGUAUGAGGCAUAGUGACAUUGCCUUUUCUCUCAUCCUACUCUAAUAAGGCUUUAACAUCUGGAGCUCAUAGGUGGGAGAUAAAGUAUGCAUACUUACAAGACAUUUAUUGCCUAGAAAAACUAUGGAUCCAGAGAAACAAGUCAAUAAGUCAAAUCAUGAUGUGCAUGUGUGGCGAAUGAAUAGUGUAUGGUGAUGAUGGUGUAAUGGUGAAAACAAUGGUGAAAGUCUAUUUCUACUUUUGCCCUUUUGAGGGGAUACAUAACUUUCUUGCACUUUUAAGCUUUUUGAGGGGGAAUGAGAUGCUCUAUAUUUUCUUUUUCUUUUCUCUCAGGUGGGUAUCUUGUACCCCUAAUUCUACUAUCGGACACUUGUCCAUUUUUACCUCUCGUCUCACUUUUUUCUUUUCUUCGAGGUUCCGGGCACUUGCCCCUUUUUAUUUUCUCAUAUUUUUCUUUUUUUUCUUCUCUCUCUUUUUUUAGAGCUCUCACCCUCCUAGGAUAAUGUAGCAAGUGGUAGUAAUCAAAAUAUCUUAAGCAUUUAUUUCACGUGGAAUAACAGGGAUAGGAUAAUGUUUUUGGCUAUUCUCUCCUAGAUAGGAGUAGAAUAAUUUUGGGUAAAUCUGGAGAUGGAAAUGAGUGGAUGUAUGUGGAUGCGUACUUCCGGAGUAGAAGCAACAUGUAUGAGUGAACGUGCAAGUGAAUCUUGAUUUUAACCGCAUGACAAGCUCCUAAGGGUCUACACAGCUUGACCACACUCAAUGCUCAUAAGCAGUAAAAGUAAAUGUAUGGUUCAUAGUCUAAUAAGCAUGUAUAUGUGGCUGUGGUAGGAUUUUAAACUCUCAUCAUACAGGAACUCAUCAUGCAACAUUUUAAAGAUUUUCAAAGAUAAAAUUCUCUAGAAUUCUAGCAUCUCUAGGAACAGAUAAACAGUAGCUCAACCUUCCCAUAUCAUAUCCAUUAACGACUUAGACUUUAGAUCAAGUACACUUCCCACAAGUUAAGGUUUAGAGCAAAUCUUAAUUCAUAACAGUCAUGCCUAAACUUGAGAGAGAAUUCGAUUUUGAGAACUAGUCAUGGCAGAGCAACUAUUCAUCAUUUCCAUGUGAGAGCUUAUCAUGAGGGUUCAUAGCAAACUUUAUUUAUUUAUUUAUUUAGCAAACUAGACAAAGAUAUAUAUAUAAGCAUAAAAUCUUUAUUUGGGUUUUUAUGAUUAUGCAUCUUUUUAUUGUUUGAGUAAAGUAUAAACGCAAAUAUAAACACUUAGCUGGAUAAAUGGGGGUGCUCUCCCCAAGCUGGAUUUUGACGUAAUUUCUUCUAAUGUAGCUAGCAGGUGGCGGAGGUGUAUUUGAAUGUCGGCAGCACCUUGACAACGAUUAGGAUGUCCUCCGUCUGCUAGUCUUCUUUGAUCCUUGAAUUCUGUGGAGCUCAAAUAGACAACAAAGCUUUGUGAAACUGGUUAAGUGUUAGCAUAAAAUCUCUUUGCCUUUAUCAUGUUGAGCUUCCUCUAAUAAAUAUUACUCUCUUUGGUAGGAUCAUAAAUUUAUUUUUAUAUUUUCAUUUCUAUAGGAUAGGAAUAUAUUUAUUUUAUUUUUACGCCACCACAGUGAAUGUACUUAUGUGUUUUAUGCCACGAGCAUACUCACACGGGGCUUGCAAUUUUUAACAUUUUUAUUUUCUAUGCAAGAUAACAUGAUUAACUAACAAGCCAUUUAAGGAAAGUAAAUAAUUUAAGGGAAAAGGGAAUGCAGAAAGGAUAAAUAUGGAUAACUACCGAUUUUACCUUUCGGCAAGGGUUCAAUGUUUUAAGUCUUCUGAACAAGACUUCUCACCGUGUUCAUUCUUCAGGUGCGUCAUUUGAUUCAGGUGUGGACCUUGAUGUCUGCACCUCUUGAUACGGUGUCACCCAUGUUCUUCAUUUGACCAACAGUUCGAAAUGUGGCGUUGGCAGUAUCUUGCUCAGUGUGUUUGUGCUCGUAGAUCCAGGUCCUUCACUUGGUAGAGUCUAGGAGAUGAAAAAUCCUCCAUGUUUCUCAAAAUGUGUCCUGCUCAUAGAGACAAGGCAGAGAUCAAGUGCAUGGGUCCCGUUCGUGGAAAACACCAACAGAACCAAAAGUAUAUUUAUUCUUCUCUGUCCUUAAGCAUAGGGAGCAAGACAAAGUUGAUGGGUGAUAAGUUCAUGAGUGUAGCAUUUAAAACAUUUGUCAAAUCAGAUCGCUCAACCUUAUGGAAAGAUAAUCUAUCUAUGUAUAUGUCUUUUUCUUUAUAUCUUCCCAAAGAUUGAAUGUGCAACAUUUUAGCUCAUAUGAUUAGGAGUGUGGGAUCAUGGAGGUAGUACUAGGAACAAAGAUUAGAGGACUAAACAUGCUGAAUCAGUUGGGUUGGUUAAUUUGGAGUUAUAAAUCACACAUGUUUGUCUCUUUAUUUAUGUGAAUGCCAGAACUAAGGAGAAGCUUAUAAAACUGAUAGUCACAUAUCUUAAGAUGUUACCUUAAUUGAAGAGUGAUGGUACCAUCUUACCUUGUGGAAGCUUCCCAUUCGUAGUGGCUGUGUAUCAUAUUUAUGUACUUUGUCUCCUUCCAUGGAUCAUCUCUCUAUGACGAAUGAGCUAUGUCCUUCUUGUUCAAAUUGUCAAACUUCAUGUGUCUCUCUCUUCAUCUCUGAUGUGAUUUUAUCUCAGGACUUGCCAAAUCGAUAUUGAAAGUUUUUCUGUAGCGGUUAGUCCGACAAAAUAUACCAAUGUCUACACAAGCAAUUUUUAGUUCAAUAACCAAACUAGACUCCAUGUCUAAUCAGAUUAAGAAAGGCUGUUUAACCUAAGCACCAUGCUUAAUUUAAAAGCCAAUAGAAUUAUGUGCAGUACUUCCAAACUAACACUUACUAGGAUAAACAAAGGUAGCGUGAUGGCAUUUAUAGAGAUCUACUCAAGUGGAGAUGAAGUAGUGUGAUUAGUAUUUAUUCAAUUUACCAUGUCUCAAUGGCAAGGACAACCAACAAAGCAACAUGACAAAGGAUGUUUUUAUGUAAGGUACUCCCCCAAGCUUGAAUUUUGCAAAAUUCAAGUUUGGAUGAAUUUAAUUCAGUGUUGCAUGAUGAUUGGUUGGACAUAUCUUCAUGUUCCAAUCCUGGAAAGGUUAGUGACAAGAAUACCUGAAGGAAUAUUUUUACAAUUAUCCUUAUAUGCUCAAUACACCAGGUAAUGUUGCAAAUAAUUAAAAGCUCAUGUUACGAUCUGAUCAGUGCUUAUUUUAGGACACUAAGCUUGUCCUUGGGAAACCAUCAAUUUAUGUUGGCGAAGUGGUUUCCCCUCCAACGCCAACCUUUGUAUAUAAAGAUUAGCUCAACGAGAUCUGCAAUAUUUAGUAUAGACAUAUGCAUCGACAACCGCCCUUUUAAAGUUUUUUUAAAU